AGCAGCCGCGGUAAUUCCAGCUCCAAUAGCGUAUAUUAAAGUUGCUGCAGUUAAAAAGCUCGUAGUUGAAUUUCGGGACCAAUAUGUCGGUCGUGCCUCGGUACGUACUGGCAUCGUUGGUUUCUCCCUUCUGACGAACCAUGAUGUCAUUUAUUUGGUGUCGUGGGGAAUCAGGACUGUUACUUUGAAAAAAUUAGAGUGUUUAAAGCAGGCUCACGCUUGAAUACAUUAGCAUGGAAUAAUGAAAUAGGACGUUUGAUUCUAUUUUGUUGGUUUCUAGGAUCGACGUAAUGAUUAAUAGGGAUAGUUGGGGGCAUUAGUAUUCAAUUGUCAGAGGUGAAAUUCUUGGAUUUAUUGAAGACUAACUACUGCGAAAGCAUUUGCCAAGGAUGUUUUCAUUAAUCAAGAACGAAAGUUAGGGGAUCGAAGACGAUCAGAUACCGUCGUAGUCUUAACCAUAAACUAUGCCGACUAGGGAUCGGAUGAUGUAAUUUUUAAUGA
rnacentral:rRNA from 1 species